AGACUCGUCUCUGGCUGCUCUCGAUAAGCCUCCGCGCCAAACCGGACAGCACGACUGAAGCGAGUAUCCAAAAGCGUCCGAAAAGUACGAGCAGUGCAGCGGCGCAGCUCCGCCCCGAGGUGGCCUGGAUCUGGAGUGAUCAAGUGCGAGGAGCAGCCAACUCUUCUAGGACACCCCCACCUCCGACACCUCCGUCAGCGGCGGCACGCCUUGCAGCAUCAGAGACGGUGCUGAUGGAGGAAGAGGAGAGAGGGCGAGAGACCAAAGAACUACAGACUCUUCACAACCUGCUCAAACUCU
ensembl:lncRNA